AACCAAAGACUGGCGACCGGCGCACGGGUGAGUAACACGUAUCCAACCUGCCUCAUACUCGGGGAUAGCCUUUCGAAAGAAAGAUUAAUAUCCGAUAGCAUAUAUUUCCCGCAUGGGUUUUAUAUUAAAGAAAUUCGGUAUGAGAUGGGGAUGCGUUCCAUUAGUUUGUUGGGGGGGUAACGGCCCACCAAGACUACGAUGGAUAGGGGUUCUGAGAGGAAGGUCCCCCACAUUGGAACUGAGACACGGUCCAA
rnacentral:rRNA from 1 species